GGAGAUCACCAAAGUGUCUCUUAGAUUCAGAGGAAGAAGAUGAAAAAUCAGAUGAAGCCCCAGUAUUAAAAUCUUGGGGAUCUCUGAUGGACCUUCUAUAUGUAAAGCAGGAGGCAGAAGGAAAUCCAUCAGUAAAAGAAUGGAGAUCAGAGAUGUGUCUCCUACAUUCAGAGGAGAAAGAUAAAAAAUCAAGUGUAAUUAUAUCUAUAAUUAUAUAUACAAGGUAUAUCCACAAUG